rnacentral:rRNA from 1 species
UACGUAGGGGGCGAGCGUUGUCCGGAGUUACUGGGCGUAAAGCGCACGCAGGCGGUCUGCUAAGUUUGGAGUGACAGUUGGUGGCUUAACUGCCAAAGUGCUUCGAAAACUGACAGACUUGAGGGCUUCAGAGGGACACGGAAUUCCGGGUGGAGUGGUGAAAUGCGUAGAGAUCCGGAGGAACACCAGUGGCGAAGGCGGCGUCCUGGCCUGCGACUGACGCUGUGGCGCGAAAGCUAGGGGAGCGAACGGG